AUAUCCCCAGAACUUAUUUAUCUUAUAACUGGAAGUUUGUACCUUUGACCACAGUCACCCACCCCUUCCCCCACCUCUGGUAACCACCAAUCUGUUCUCUGUUUCUAUAAGUUCUAUUUUUAUAGAUUCCACAUAUAAGUGAGAUCAUACAGUAUUUUUUUUUUUUAAGAUUCCCCCCCCCCAAAGCCCCCAGUGCAUAGCUGUGUAUCCUAGUUGUAGGUCUUUCCAGUUCUUCUAUGUGGGACACUGCCUCAGCAUGGCUUGAUGAGUGGUAUGUAUGUCCGCACCCAGGAUCCGAACCGGCAAACCCUGGGCCGCUGAAGCAGACCACGUGAACUUAACCACUAUGCCACCAGGCUGGCCCCAUUCAUACAGUAAUUGACUUUCUAUGUCUGACUUAUUACACUGGGCCCUGGUUCUGAGGGGAGCUGUGGGCACCUUUGGGGUGAGGGGCAGGGAGGCAGGGAAGGAGGGAAGGUGCUGUCCAAGCCAGACCUGGGUUUUGUCUUGGUGGGGGGGUGAGAGUGAGCAGGAUAAAAUACAAGGGGAAGGAAAACAUGAGGGAGUUUCUGGAAAUCUGUGCCUUUUGCCUCCUUUCUGAACUUCCCUUCCCCUCCUCUCACCCCUUGUCCCACCCAGAACCAGGAUCCAAUUUCCUCUUUUUUCAAAAUACAACUCCAAAACAGAUUUAAUCUCUGGGGAUUGUUCCAUGAAGGAAACCUGUAGAGGCAAGUCAUCUCUGAAGUUGUGAGAGAAACAUAUAUCUCAAGAGUCUGCAAAUGAACGUCCAUUUGGCACGUGACGUGACUCAAAUCUCUGGCUGCUGGUAGACAUCAGCUAGGGCCACAUCUCAAGAAUGGGAUGCUCUAUCCGAAGAGGCCAGGAAGUCAAAUAGGGGCUUGAUCAUCACAGCAAUGAUGGUAAGAUGCUGUAGUCCAGUACAUUUGGAAAUGCUGUGCUGGACCACGAAAUCCUUGAGGGCAAGAGUCAGGACUGGUGUGAUAUGAGUCAUAUACACUCGUGCUAUAAGAGUCAUGUGUUGGUGGACUGUUCCACUGGGGGCCCGCAAGAAACCACACAUUCUGGUAUUCAUGCCCUUGUAUAGUCCUCUCCCACAUGUGGGCUUGAGUGUGCGACUUGCUCUGGCCAAUGUGCCAUUAGAAGCACGAUGCAAGAAUAGAUCCGACAAGUGUUUGCUUCUCCUCCUGAGGCUUGUCCUCUUGGAACACUCUCUGGGAGCUAGCCACUGAGCUGUAAAGAAUCGUGGGCAGACCAGGAAGGACAAGACAGCACCGAGAGAGAGAGGGGCUAUGUGGAGGAGCUGAGGCACCAGAUACUUUAGUGAGAGCUUCUUGGACUUACCAGCCUCGCCCAGCUGAAUGAGUGACGUAAACUGAUGCUCCCUGGAGCAGAAGAACCACUCAGCUGAGCCUUGCCCAAAUUCCUGAUCCACAAAAUCAUGAACGAGAAAGGAUAAAUUGUUGCUGUUUUAAGCCACUAAGUUGUGGGGUAGUUUGUUACAUAACAAUAGAUACCUUGUAGUAGGUGUGUAACAAAUCUGUAUGGAAAGAGUGAAUGGCAAAUCACAACACCAGCUCUGGUGCAAGCCCUUAUACUCGUCCUGCAUACUCAUUAAGUCUCAAUCACAUCUAUUUUCUGGUAUGAGUCCUGUGAUGGUUAAUUUAUGUGUUGAUUUGACUGGGCCACGGAGUUCUCAGAUAGUUGGUCAAACAUUAUUCUGUGAAGGUGUGUUUGAAAGAAAUUAAGAAUUUAAAUUGGUAGACUGAGUAAAGUAGAUUGCCUUUUAUAAUGUGGGUGGGCCUCAUCCAAUCAGUUGAAGGCUUGACUAGAACUAAAGGCUGGCCCUCCCCUGAGUAAGAGAGAAUUCUCCUGCCUGACAGCUUUCAAACUGAGACAUUGGCUUUUCCUGCUUCUACAGCAGCCUGCCAGCCUUUAGAUUCAAACUGGAACACCAGCUCUGCAGAUUUUGGACUUGCCAGCCUCCAUAAUUGCAUAAGCCAAUUCCUUAUAAUAAAUUUCUUUAUCUAUGUAUAUAGAUAUAUAGAUAGAUAGAUUGGUGGAAGGUAGAACUUGUGAAUGACAACCUUGGAUAUUUAGCAGAGUAGAUUACUAGGCAAAGCGUUGAAAAUGCUGCCUGGCUUCUCCUUACUGCUUAAAGGAAAAUGUGAGAAGAGAGAGAGAAAUUGAAGGAAUUGUUAAGCAAAAAGGAACCAGAACUUGAUGAUUCGGAAAAUUCGCAGCCUAUCCAUAUUGCAAAAAAUGAGAAAGCACGUUCUGGAGAAAACACCACGGGUGUGGCUGACGAUCAUACCAUAAAGAGAUCAGCCACAAAUUUAAUCAGCCAUCUCAGCUGAAGCCAGGACUAGAGAUGGGAUUAUACAAGCAGAGGUGCUGCCAGCUGGGACUAAAGGGGAUAGAGAAAAUGGAACGGAGGAAGGUUGUUGGAUGUCUGGGAUCUACGGGACAGGACAACAGAGCUAUCCAGCUUCAAACAUCGUUAUCCUUCAAGAAAAGGGAAAAAUGACCGUGAAGGUCAUUCAGAGAUCAUCAGGGCUACCACUCCCACCACAGGCCCAGGGGACAAGGCUGCUUUCUCCUGGUUUCAGAGAGUGGGGCCACUUCCUCAGUUUCAGACAGCCAGGAUACCACCACCCAGUGUCUCAGGGGCAAGGCCAUCAGCAUCCAGCAGAGCUGAAGGGGCAGGGCCACUGCGUAGGGCCGUGGGGAGAUACAGGGCCCCAGUGGGCACUGAGGGCAGAACAUUAUUCUGAAGAAGAUUUAAGCCUUAAAAUCAAAUGGAAUUUGCCUUGCUAGUUUUGGACUUGCUUGGGACCUGUUACUACUUUCUUCUUCCCAAGUUCUCCCUUUGGAAUGGGAAUGUCUAUCCUGUGGCUGUCCUACCACUGUCGUUUUGGAAGGACAUGACUUGUCUGGUUUGACAGGUUCACAGCUGGAGAGGAAUUUUGCUUCAGGAUGAGGCACCCAUAUUGAGUCUCACCCAUAUCUGAUUUAGAUUACAUUUAGUGAGCUUUUGGACUUGGAAUUGAUGUGGAAUGGGUUAAGACUUUUGGGGCUGUUGGGAUAGGGGUGAAUGUAUGUUGCAUGUGAAGAGGAUGUGAAUUUGGGGGGCUAGAUGGCAGAAUGUUAUGGACUGAAUUUUGUCCCCCUAAAUUUAUAUGUUGUAACUCUGGCUCUCAAUGUGGCUGUAUUUGGAGAUGGGGCCUUUAAAGAGGUAAUUAAGGUUGAAUGAGGUCAUAAGGAUGAGGUCCAAAUCCAAUAGUAGCGAUGCCUUUACAAGAAGAGGAGAUACCUGAGAUCUCUCUCUGUCCUCGUGUGCACAGAGCAAAGGCCACGUGAGGACAAGGACACAGCAAGAAGGUGCAUCUGUAAGCCGAGGAGAGAGGUCUCACCAGAAACCAAGUCCGCUGGCACCUUGAUCUUGGACUUCUAGUCUCCAGAACCAUGAGAAAGUAAAAUUCUGUUGUUUAA